rnacentral:rRNA from 1 species
CAGCCGCCGCGGGAAUACGAAGGGUGCAAGCGUUAAUCGGAAUUACUGGGCGUAAAGCGUGCGUAGGCGGUUUGUUAAGUCUGUUGUGAAAUCCCCGGGCUCAACCUGGGAAUGGCAAUGGAUACUGGCAAGCUAGAGUGUGUCAGAGGAUGGUGGAAUUCCCGGAGUAGCGGUGAAAUGCGUAGAGAUCGGGAGGAACAUCAGUGGCGAAGGCGGCCAUCUGGGACAACACUGACGCUGAGGCACGAAAGCGUGGGGAGCAAACAGGAUUAGAUACCCGUGUAGUCCCUGUCUCUUAUAC